CAGUCGCCACGGGGAAUACAGAGGGUGCGAGCGUUAAUCGGAUUUACUGGGCGUAAAGCGUGCGUAGGCGGCUUCUUAAGUCGGAUGUGAAAUCCCUGAGCUUAACUUAGGAAUUGCAUUCGAUACUGGGAAGCUAGAGUAUGGGAGAGGAUGGUAGAAUUCCAGGUGUAGCGGUGAAAUGCGUAGAGAUCUGGAGGAAUACCGAUGGCGAAGGCAGCCAUCUGGCCUAAUACUGACGCUGAGGUACGAAAGCAUGGGGAGCAAACAGGAUUAGAUACCCCCGUAGUCCCUGUCUCUUAUA
rnacentral:rRNA from 1 species